rnacentral:rRNA from 1 species
UACAGAGGGGGCAAGCGUUGUUCGGAGUUACUGGGCGUAAAGGGUGUGUAGGCGGUCCUCUAAGUUUGGUGUGAAAUCUCCCGGCUCAACCGGGAGGGUGCGCCGAAAACUGGAGGGCUAGAGUGCGGGAAGGGAGAGUAGAAUUCCUGGUGUAGCGGUGAAAUGCGUAGAUAUCAGGAGGAAUACCGGUGGUGCAGACGGCUCUCUGGACCGCGACUGACGCUGAGACACGAAAGCGUGGGGAGCAAACCGG